AGUCUCCUACGGGGCGCAGCAGUGGGGAAUAUUGCACAAUGGGGGAAACCCUGAUGCGGCGACGCCGCGUGAGUGAAGAAGUAUUUCGGUAUGUAAAGCUCUAUCAGCAGGGAAGAAAAUGACGGUACCUGACUAAGAAGCCCCGGCUAACUACGUGCCAGCAGCCGCGGUAGUACGUAGGGGGCAAGCGUUAUCCGGAUUUACUGGGUGUAAGGGGAGCGUAGACGGCAGAGCAAGUCUGAAGUGAAAGCCCGCGGCCCAACUGCGGGACUGCUUUG
rnacentral:rRNA from 1 species